rnacentral:rRNA from 1 species
GGCGCAAGCCUGAUCCAGCCAUGCCGCGUGGGUGAUGAAGGCCUUCGGGUUGUAAAGCCCUUUUGGCGGGGACGAUGAUGACGGUACCCGCAGAAUAAGCCCCGGCUAACUUCGUGCCAGCAGCCGCGGUAAGACGAAGGGGGCAAGCGUUGUUCGGAAUUACUGGGCGUAAAGGGCGCGUAGGCGGCCCGAUCAGUCAGCCGUGAAAGGCCUGGGCUCAACCUGGGAACUGCGGUUGAUACUGUUGGGCUUGAGAGCGGGAGAGGAUGGUGGAAUUCCCAGUGUAGAGGUGAAAUUCGUAGAUAUUGGGAAGAACACCGGUGGCGACAGGCGGCCAUCUGGACCGUAUCUGACGCUGAGGCGCGAAAGCGUGGGGAGCAAACAGGAUUAGAUACCCUGGUAGUCCACGCUGUAAACGAUGAGUGCUGGACGUUGGCGGGCUUGCCUGCCGGUGUCGCAGCUAACGCGUUAAGCACUCCGCCUGGGGAGUACGGCCGCAAGGUUGAACUCA